CCAACAAUAGAAGCCGAGGUUGUAAGUCUCGACUUCGACCAGGGUCCUACCGUGAGUUUGAAUGAUUCUCCCUAUGACCGAUUAUGGAGAUAAGGAGUGAUUGUUGAUAUGAGUUGCUCAAAACUAACAUACCUCGCGCAAGAUUACUCUAGAAGAUACAAGGAAACUUUAAACUAAUUUGUUGGCAUUGAAACAGUCAUGAGAAAGCCGUGCAUCGACAGAAGUUGCAGGCCUCUUAUUGCGAAACUGAUAAUGGGAAUAUGUAGAAUAAACAUUUCUCUGUAGCAUAUACACACACCAACAAGAGUUACUUUUUUCUUAUCUUCGUCACGAUAAGCUCAAUGAAGUCAAUAUUGAUGACUCGCAACUCUUCCACGUAACUCUUCCAUAUAGAGUGACUCUGAAUUGACAGUAUAAAGAGAAUGUAGCAACUUGAAUUUAAGGAAAAAAGUAUUUAUUAAAUGGAACUUGGCUAAUGUGUCUGUUACUUAUGUUAGCUCAAUUUUACCAUAAGAUUCAACACCUGCUUAUAUUUCCAAAAAUUAGAUGAUAAUUUUAAUAAUAAUAUACAACCAGUAUUUAAGACAUCAAAUAUCAAACUAUUUUUUUGUGUAUUUGAAAAAUGAAAAAUGUUUUAUCAUUUUAUAGGAUAUAUCUGGCUGAAAUUCAUCACUUUAU